UAAACCCUAACCUCUAGUUUGGUAGGGGCGCCUCUUAACACCAUAAUUACACCUUGUAUGUCUCUUAUUUCCCUCUGUGCCUGUUAUUAAACCCAUUGUUUGCCUGUUACAUACCGUAUCCUUUGUUUGUCUCUUAACCCCCCAUUACCUCUAUUAUUACCCUUUAUCCUUUGUUGAGCUGUGGAGUUGUGCUGGGACACACGAAAACCAGGUGUGUUUGUGUGUGUUUAUAGGUGAUGGAGUAUAUAUGUGUAUGAAAUCACUGAAAGAGAGCACAAC